AAUACCUCUCCCUGUCACCGAGAAUCAAGGAAGCCCUUCCUAAAGAUAAAACCAUGUAAAACAGCGGAUAAGGUACAUGUCCAAGAGGUGGCAAACUGAGAAGGGAGGUAUAGAGCACACCUUCUACAUGGUUUGCCUGUCUCCUGAAGGAAUUGGAUCUCUGAACUAGACCUUGUGAAUGUGGCUUGCAGUGAAAGGAGGCUUGACUGAACUGAGGCAGAAGCUACUAUUUUGCCAGUGAGUGUUUUCUGGAAGUAAUGAAGGAGGAGGUGAUGGCUUGAGUAAGUAUCGGGCAAGACACAGCUACAUAUAUGAACCU
rnacentral:lncRNA from 14 species